rnacentral:misc_RNA from 1 species
UCGAGCUAUAUCUAAUAAUGCGUUUUUACUUGACGCUUUUUUCGUCGACCUACGUUGUAUUAUACCUCAUAACUUUCUACUGGAUGUACCGAUUUUGAUAAUUCUUUUUUUGUUGGAAAGGAGAUAUCUCAAUUUGAUACCGUGAUAAGGAAACCAGGAUCUGAUGAUGGGAUCCCAGAGAAAUCGAGGGAAACUCUCGAAAAUCCGUAAUA